rnacentral:sRNA from 1 species
UAUCAGCCUGAACACCACAAUUAUUACCACCACCGGUACCAUUGGUAACGGGGCGGGCUGACGCGUACAGGAACACUAGAAAAAAGCCCGCGCCUAACCAGUGCGGGCUUUUUUUU